AAGGUCAGGACCGACAACCUGUGACCACCCCCACGUGUUCAACGCGGCCAUCUGUAACCAACAGCAACUAAUUCGUCCCCAAGAAAGUCCCGUUCCAGAUCUGCGAGGACUUCGCCUAGCCCCUCCAACAGAGUCCCUCCCAGGUCGGACAAGCAGCUGGAGGCUUUCCCCCGCCACAGGUCACACAGGCAGCUGGAAGCAUCUUCAGACUCCUCUCCGCCUCCUCCCCGCCCUACUCUGCCCCCUCGAUCUUCCAAAGCCCCUCUAGGCUCCCGCCAUCACUAAUCACCAGUCUCCCAUUGUUAAAACACCCACACCUAAGGAUAUCAGGUUCCUAAAAGCCACAGCGGCCCCCUGUCAGAUCUGCCAAAAGAUAACGGCCCAGAGUUUACUUCCCAGAUUUCUCAAAAUCUGUCUAAAGCACUUGGAAUCCCCUUCCACAUACCGUACCACCCUUAGUCUUCAGGUAAGGUAGAACAGACUAACCGCUCUUUAAAGGAAGCUCUCGUUAAGAUGUCACAGGAACUCCACCUCAACUGGCUGCCAAGCUUGAAGGAAUUCCUCAUUGGAUUCACCUGUCACAUCUUAAACCAUUCAUCUCCACGGCUCAAGAUAAUCCUUCAUACACGGUAACUCAGACAGGACCUUGUUCUCUUAAGUUCCAAAGGGCACCAGGUUCAGCCCCCUCUACUCCAGUCUAAGGAAAAUAGUGGUCCCAUCCGUCGCUUAAUCCUUCGCUGUGUUAACACACCCUCCCUUCUUUAAAUUCAUAAAUAACCAUCCAGCUGUUGUUACAGGUACCAUCAUCAAAUACGGAGUCAAGGGCUCAGGCAGUAAGCAGAUUCUCAACAAAGUUCCUUGACAUAACAGGUCAGUCGCUGACUGCAGCAGUGACCCCUGAAAUGUUAAGAAAUAAUGGUUAAAAUUUAUUUUCUUUUAAGACACUUUCUUUAAGCUCCAGGACGCCAGCCCGACCCACCUAAACAAAUCAAACACAAGCGGAUCAUUA